rnacentral:rRNA from 1 species
GCAAGUCGAACGGUAAGGCUCCUUCGGGAGUACACGAGUGGCGGACGGGUGCGUAACGCGUAUGCAACCUACCUUUCAGCGGGGGAUAGCCUGAAGAAAUUCAGAUUAAUACCGCAUAAAACAAUUGAGUCGCAUGGCUAUGAUUGUUAAAGCUUCGGCGUUGAAAGAUGGGCAUGCGUGACAUUAGCUAGUUGGUGAGGUAAUGGCCUACCAAGACGAUGAUGCAUAGCCGACCUGAGAGGGUGAUC